rnacentral:rRNA from 1 species
UGUUGGGUUAAGUCCGCACGAGCGCAACCCUAUUGUUAGUUGCCAUCAUUCAGUUGGGCACUCUAGCGAGACUGCCGGUAAUAAACCGGAGGAAGGUGGGGAUGACGUCAAAUCAUCAUGCCCCUUAUGACCUGGGCUACACACGUGCUACAAUGGUUGGUACAACGAGUUGCGAGUCGGUGACGGCGAGCUAAUCUCUUAAAGCCAAUCUCAGUUCGGAUUGUAGGCUGCAACUCGCCUACAUGAAGUCGGAAUCGCUAGUAAUCGCGGAUCAGCACGCCGCGGUGAAUACGUUCCCGGGCCUU